ACACAUUUGUCCAAACCCAUAGAAUGUAUAGUGCCAAGAGUGAACCCCAAGAUAAACUAUGGACUUUGGGUGAUCAAGCUGAGUCAAUAUGAGGAAACUGUGGGAUGGAGGAGCUAAGUCUACUGCCUACAGUUUGUGUAUUUCUUCUAAGCAUCUCAUGGGAGACAAGACAGAUCAGUUAUAAUGGACCCAUAGAAUGAGCCAUUAAGAAGAAUGAGAGCCAUGCUUCCUGAUCCAGAAGAGAUGACACCUCCUCUUUGAAGCCAUCCCCUGUUUGCCAGGCAGAAAUGAUCUCUCUCCAUAGGACAUUCACCAUUUUACAAUAAUUAAAUGGAUUUAUUUUGUUGUAAAAAAUAAAAUUUAAAAACCACAA